rnacentral:rRNA from 1 species
CCUACGGGAGGCAGCAGUGAGGAAUAUUGGUCAAUGGGCGCGAGCCUGAACCAGCCAAGUAGCGUGAAGGAUGACUGCCCUACGGGUUGUAAACUGCUUUUAUAAAGGAAUAAAGUGAGGCACGUGUGCCCUUUUGUAUGUACUUUAUGAAUAAGGAUCGGCUAACUCCGUUCCAGCAGCCACGGUAAUACGGUGGAUCCGAGCGUUAUCCGGAUUUAUUGGUUUUAAAGGGGGCGUAGAUGGGUUGUUAAGUCAGUUGUGAAAGUUUGCGGCUCAACCGUAAAAUUGCAAUUGAUACUGGCAGGCUUGAGUACAGUUGAGGUAAGCGGAAUUCGUGGUGUAGCGGUGAAAUGCUUAGAUAUCACGAAGAACUCCGAUUGCGAAGGCAGCUUACUAAACUGCAACUGACAUUGAAGCACGAAAGCGUGGGGAUCAAACAGGAUUAGAUACCCUGGUAGUC